UAUUCUCUGAGAUGUUUGCAAGCGGGCCAGUCCCCUGAGCCGAUAUUUAGUACUACUAGAACGUGGCGCCUCAUAUCUUGUGUGCAUGCUCGGUUCGUCCGAGAAGCCUAAUAGGUAUGACGACAUGUUCACCUUGAACCAAGGGUUCAAGGGUUACAGCUCGCAGCGGCAUCUCGGAGAUCCC
rfam:Triticum urartu cultivar G1812 contig145814, whole genome shotgun sequence.